AUUGAUAAGUUUGUUUUGUUAUUUGUGAACGAGGAAUAGAUUUUUCACAUGCACUUAGGAUCAUGCAUUGUCUUUAAUUAAAUUAUUUAGCAAAGCCUGAUUUUUGCAUAUCAUAUUAUUUCAAAAAGGGUGAAAUUUUGCACGUUGUUGAGGUUGGGACAGGAAGUUUGUGGAGGAGCUAAGCUUUUGAGAUUGAGCGACGACGGGCGUGGGGGAUGUUGAGCAGAAUUCAUGGAUUAUUUAUGUUUGGCUUAAUAUUGUUGGAUAUGUCGUGUCUUCAUACUCGGCAUUUUCCGUGUCUUGAACGCUUCCGCUAGGUGUCUUUUCCUUAAAAUUGUUUUAGUAUUGAGAACCUAACUCUUUUCAAAAUUGUCUACUUUCUAGUCUUUAUUUCUUAGAAUUGGUACUUUGUUGAAAUGAUACUAUGUUGUUUUCUAAGUUA